rnacentral:rRNA from 1 species
GACGAACGCUGGCGGCGUGCCUAAUACAUGCAAGUAGAACGCACAGUUUAUACCGUAGCUUGCUACACCAUAGACUGUGAGUUGCGAACGGGUGAGUAACGCGUAGGUAACCUGCCUGGUAGCGGGGGAUAACUAUUGGAAACGAUAGCUAAUACCGCAUAAUAUUAAUUAUUGCAUGAUAAUUAAUUGAAAGGUGCAAUUGCACCACUACCAGAUGGACCUGCGUUGUAUUAGCUAGUAGGUGAGGUAACGGCUCACCUAGGCGACGAUACAUAGCCGACCUGAGAGGGUGAUCGGCCACACUGGGACUGAGACACGGCCCAGACGCCUACGGGAGGCAGCAGUAGGGAAUCUUCGGAAAUGGACGAAAGUCUGACCGAGCAACGCCGCGUGAGUGAAGAAGGUUUUCGGAUCGUAAAGCUCUGUUGUAAGAGAAGAACGGGUGUGAGAGUGGAAAGUUCACACUGUGACGGUAUCUUACCAGAAAGGGACGGCUAACUACGUG